rnacentral:lncRNA from 1 species
UGGCCAGAUGAGCUUGGUUUCUGUUUAGUUGUGCUGCUGGCUUUGCCUUCUCCCUAGGUCUAGACUCUUAGGCUCAUCUCUAAAGAAUAUUGUAUUUUAAAAAUAAAGUCUUAGUAAAACAGGUUCCCCUAGAACAGGGCAGUAAGUUGUAUUGGCUAAUAGCUGUUACAUCUUCCUCUUCCUGUCACAGGAGUGCUGCAUGUGAGGUUUGGGGGGGUGGGGAUGGGGGAGGGUUGUGGAUUUUGUUUUUUGUUUUUUGUUUUUUAAAUAAUCUCACUGACCAUCUGCAUAUUUCCAGCUUUCAGUAAAGGAGAGCUUAUACAUGCAAAAAAAAACCAGAACCUUAGCAAACAGACUGAUGAGGGAACUCUUUGGUGACAUUUUAAAAGAAUGUUUCCCUUGACAAAAAAGAAGUCUGUCACCAAGUUCUUUUAAACUUCAGGAACCAGGUUUAACAAGCAGAGAUUCAACUUGCAUAUACUUUCAGGAGCAGAGGAAAGCAAGGGCCCUGUGUUGAGAAAGAAAGUCAUACACCUUGCUGAAUCUCAAGCCGGUUGGGAAUGAUGUCCUCAGGGGGUCUUGAAUUUAUCUUCCCCAACCCUUCCAGGUGGUCCAAGUUUGCAAGCUAGGGAAGGGGCUGGGUCAGGUGACGUUGAACUUGCCCACAGAAUCUGGAUUUGCUUAAACUGGGGUCUUCUCUUGAAGCCAAAACUAGAUUGAGGACAGAUGCAAGAAAGGAUGGCCUACUUUGCACGUCAGGGAGUCUGCUCGGGAACUUGUUCUCCUCAGAGAAUGUGCAGACUGGAGAGCUGCCUGCCUUACAGGGACUUCAGAUCAGAGUUCUUAACCUGGGUCCUGGAAUCCAUAACCCCCUGAAACUGCUUGCAAAUAUUAUAAAUGAUACGGACAUUUUCUGGAGAAGGAGUUCAAAGCUUUCUGCAGAUUUCCCAAUGAGUCCUUGAUCUGAAAUAAAUUAAGAACCUCUGCUUUACAUUCCUCCCGAGAUGUCAAGUCUUGGUGGGGGCUCUGAGAGGCUGGGGGUGACCCCGGCCUUUUUGUGCUCUGUGUGGCUUCCUCAGCAUGUCCCAAGGCAGGGCAUUUCUAAUGUUCUGGUGUCUGUCCUUUCUCCUAGGAGGAUGAAGAAGGUUAUAACGAUGGAGAGGUAGAUGACGAGGAAGAUGAAGAAGAGCUUGGUGAAGAAGAAAGGGGUCAGAAGCGAAAACGAGAACCUGAAGAUGAGGGAGAAGAUGAUGACUAAGUGGAAUAACCUAUUUUGAAAAAUUCCUAUUGUGAUUUGACUGUUUUUACCCAUAUCCCCUCUCCCCCCCCCCUCCAAUCCUGCCCCCUGAAACUUAUUUUUUUCUGAUUGUAACGUUGCUGUGGGAACGAGAGGGGAAGAGUGUACUGGGGGUUGCGGGGGGAGGGAUGGCGGGUGGGGGUGGAAUAAAAUACUAUUUUUACUGCCACUCUUUAUUUUUUUCCCCUACUUUUUCUUUGUGUCCGGUUUUUGUCCCUGUAAAUGCGAUAGCUAAGUACACACUAAGUGAGCAUUUGUUCCUGACUCUCAAAGAGGAUGGUUUGGAGUUCUCUUACGUUUCCUGGUAUUUCCCAAGUCUCUUGGGUUGGUUGGAAGGCUGUGGCUGGUCUCAGUUUGGUUACUCAAUGCCCAGGAGGGGCUGAGCACCAGCCAUAUCUUUUGCUUUGGUUCACAUGAUGAUACCUGCUUUUCUCAGGCCUGCUAGAGGCAUCCAACGCCCUGGUUUGUAAAUAGCAACCUAAAGGCGUAUUUUGGCACUGGUCUGGGGACAUUCCCCAUCUCUCAUCCCUUUUCCCCCUUCACAGAUGGUGGUGGGCUUCGCUCUACAAAGAGGACUCUGAUGUUACUCUUGAGCUUAUGAGCCAGAGAGCUGAAAACCGCAGGCUUGUUGUGUUAAGUUACAAGGAAAAUGGAUUUGGUAAUUAAAAUUAGAAGAAACACACCUUCAAACUUCAACUUCUUUAAAAGAAAAAAAAAA